UACGAGGGGGCAAAUGUUGUUCGGAAUCACUGGGCGUAAAGGGAGCGUAGGCGGGUUUUAAGUCAGGUGUUUAAUCCCGGGGCCCAACCCCGGACAGGCACUUGAAACUGGGAAUCUUGAAUAGUGGAGAGGUCAGUGGAAUUGGGGGUGUAGCGGUGGAAUGCGUAGAGAUCCCCAAGAACACCCGUUGCGAAGGCGGCUGACUGGACACAUAUUGACGCUGAGGCUCGAAAGCAUGGGGAGCAAACAGG
rnacentral:rRNA from 1 species